rnacentral:rRNA from 1 species
UGGAGCAUGUGGUUUAAUUCGAUGCAACGCGAAGAACCUUACCUGGUCUUGACAUCCUGGGAAUCCCGUAGAGAUAUGGGAGUGCCGCAAGGAACCCAGAGACAGGUGCUGCAUGGCUGUCGUCAGCUCGUGUCGUGAGAUGUUGGGUUAAGUCCCGCAACGAGCGCAACCCUCGCCUCUAGUUGCCAGCAUUCGGUUGGGCACUCUAGAGGGACUGCCGGCGACAAGUCGGAGGAAGUGGGGAUGACGUCAAAUCAUCAUGCCCCUUAUGUUCUGGGCUACACACGUGCUACAAUGGCCGGUACAGACGGACGCAAAGCCGCGAGGCGGAGCAAAUCCGAAAAAGCCGGUCUCAGUUCGGAUUGCAGGCUGCAAUUCGCCUGCAUGAAGUCGGAAUCGCUAGUAAUCGCAGGUCAGCAUACUGCGGUGAAUACGUUCCCGGGCCUU